GGUACCCUUAACACCGAGAAGACACUCAGACAUGGCACCACAUAGUCAACCAGUUACCUCAAAGAGGUAUUCAACUUUUGUGCCUCCACUAGUUCUGUAUGGGAUACAGACAAGAGGUCAACAGGGCUUUACAGCAUACAACAUCCCUCUGUCCAUAAGACCCUCACAUCCUUGACUGCUCAUCAGGCCAUAUGCAGUACGUGCUCCCACUACAUCAUUGCCUAGGAUGGCAUCAACCCCCUCAACAGGCAACUCUGGUUGAACCCCAACCUCAACGUCCCCCUGUACAAGUGAUAGCGUGGAUCCUGGAGGUUGCCUCAGUCUGGCUCUUCUUUUGCUCACUUACUGCAGCUCUACAGCCCCUUUUGACACAGAUGCAUUGUGCAAUCAGGAUCACACAAAAUUGGAAGAGCUAGAAAUUUCACACCAGCCUCUGAUUUCCAAAAUGACAAGAGAAUAAAUGAAUGAAUACAGAACUGUACAUGAAGAGUGGUAAAAAAUAGACACUUUAUUAUGUUCCAUCUCUGACAGCAUGUGUGCUUGGUCCAUGUGCUAGGUUUGAAUCUAUCCUGUGUGUGUGUGUGUGUGUGUGUGUGUGUGUGUGUGUGUGUGUGUGUGUGU